UACAGAGACUGCAAGCGUUUAUUCGGAUUCACUGGGCGUAAAGGGUGCGCAGGCGGCCAAGUGUGUGAGGCGUGAAAGCCCGGGGCUUAACCCCGGAAUUGCACCUCAAACUACAUGGCUAGAGCAUUGGAGAGGGUAGCGGAAUUCACGGUGUAGCAGUGAAAUGCGUAGAUAUCGUGAGGAACACCAGAGGCGAAGGCGGCUACCUGGACAAUUGCUGACGCUCAGGCAACGGAAAGCGUGGGGGAGCAAACAGG
rnacentral:rRNA from 1 species